rnacentral:tRNA from 3 species
GGGAGUAGAUAGGCGCUGGUGUGCCUCCUAGACUUCAAAUCUACGGUCUCGCUAUUUAAGCGAGAGGUGGGUUCGAUUCCCACAUACUCCCGCCA